UACGUAGGUGGCAAGCGUUGUCCGGAUUUACUGGGCGUAAAGGGCGUGCAGGCGGUUUGUUAAGUCUAGGGUGAAAGCUCCCGGCUCAACUGGGAGAGGUCCUUGGAUACUGGCAGACUUGAGGAGGGUAGAGGAGAGUGGAAUUCCCGGUGUAGUGGUGAUAUGCGUAGAUAUCGGGAGGAACACCAGUGGCGAAGGCGGCUCUCUGGGCCCUACCUGACGCUGAGACGCGAAAGCGAGGGGAGCGAACCGG
rnacentral:rRNA from 1 species